GUGCUGGAUACUUGUCUGCAGUGUUCGACUAGAUAAACUUGUUUAGUUCAUGUGAUCUCAUUGUCCUCGCAAACAUCACAUCACAGCAAAUCUCAUUGUACUUCCUAACCCUGUAGAGAUUAAUUAUCACUGCAAUUAAUCAAGCAGAGGAAUAUAGGUGUAAUUUAAAAUAGAAAAUUGCUUAUAUUUUCAUACAGAACGUAACACAAAAACAAACUACAAAAUGUGCAAAUGUCUAGGCCAAAGUGUUGUCUGCUGUUGCUGUCAAUGCGCCAUGAGCGUCUUCAUCUCCUUGCUAUUCUUGGCCAUAUUGAUUGCCAUCGCGGUCGCCGCAGGAAUCUACUUCGGACUGGUUAACGUGGAGGACAGCCAACCGGAGCUGUCUGAUUUUAUCCAUAAGACGGGCGAUUCGAUCAAAAGUACCGUCAAGGACAAGAUCAAUUAAAACCCAUACAAGUCUCAUGCACAACGAAACCAGUUGAAUGCAGAAUCUCCAGAAGAAAAUAAGCGCUUUAUUCUGGAUCUAAAUUUUUGGGAAAUCAUAUUGCAUUUAUAGAUGUAUUCAUGUGCUCAUUGAUAUACUUUCAAUCCAAGCUAUACAACCGUUGGAAAUAGAAAGCAUGUUUUAAAAUUGUAAUUUUUCAACACAAAUCGCUUCAAGCAUCACAUAAGUUAUUCCUCACAACGGGUUCAUCAGGGAUUUAAUCUGACCAAAUUUUACAAAGGUACAACGUUACAAGUACAACAUUGUCGGUUUCAUCGAGUGAAGAUCGCCACAAAUAUCAAGAUGUUGUAUAAUUUUCGCAAUAGCCGUCGCGAUCGCUAUCUAUUAUGGCGUAUUUAAAGUUGAUGAUUCAGCACCAGAGGUCGGAAAUUUCAUCAAAAAGACCGGAGAUCAGAUCAAAUACGGCAUCAAGGACGGUAUCAAGAAGUUCGAUGACUAGUGCUAUAGAUGGUUCCAUCCCUCAACUACGAAAACGGCUCCGAAGAGGGAGGAAAUGUACUCCGUAACUUGGUUGGUAUCGAUGUAUCUCAUUCCAAAAAUCAGUGAACAGCUGUAAAAUCAUCUGUGGGAAAUAGUCUGAUAUAAAAUCUCAAAUAUACCGAGCCGAACCGAAACUAUACGUCAUGAAUUAUUUUUUUUAACUAACCGUGGCGCAUAAUAGCUUUAAUAAUUUAUGGAUCUGAACAUAUUCAAGAAUAUGUAAGAAUAUUACAAGUGCAAAUACAAAACUAACCUGCCUAUCAGAAAA